UGCCCCAUGGCUGAGUUGGUUACAGCGUCCGACUGUUAUCCUCGAAAGUGGACAGCUCAUCGGAAGGUCGUGAGUUCGAGCCUCACUGGGGCAG